rnacentral:rRNA from 1 species
GGACAGCAACGUGUCCCUUCCUUCGGGACAGGCGAGACAGGUGGUGCAUGGUUGUCGUCAGCUCGUGUCGUGAGAUGUUGGGUUAAGUCCCGCAACGAGCGCAACCCCUAUUUCCAGUAGCCAGCAGUGAGAUGGGAACUCUGGAGAGACUGCCGGGGACAACCCGGAGGAAGGUGGGGACGACGCCAAAUCAUCAUGCCCCUUAUGGGCUGGGCUACACACGUGCUACAAUGGUGCCAGCAGAGUGAGGCGACCCCGCGAGGGCAGGCAAAUCACAAAAAUGGCAUCUCAGUUCGGAUUGCAGUCUGCAACUCGACUGCAUGAAGCUGGAAUCGCUAGUAAUCGCGAAUCAGAAUGUCGCGGUGAAUACGUUCCCGGGUCUUGUACACACCGCCCGUCACACCAUGGGAGUUGGGAAUGCCCGAAGCCGGUGACCUAACCGAGAGGGAGGAGCCGUCGAAGGCAGGCUCGAUAACUGGGGUGAAGUCGUAACAAGGUAGCCGUAUCGGAAGGUGCGGU